rnacentral:rRNA from 1 species
UACGAAGGGGGCAAGCGUUGUUCGGAAUUACUGGGCGUAAAGGGCGCGUAGGCGGCUGUGCAAGUCAGAUGUGAAAGCCCUGGGCUCAACCCAGGAUGUGCAUUUGAUACUGCACGGCUAGAGUGUCGGAGAGGAUGGUGGAAUUCCCAGUGUAGAGGUGAAAUUCGUAGAUAUUGGGAAGAACACCGGUGGCGAAGGCGACCAUCUGGACGACAACUGACGCUGAGGCGCGAAAGCGUGGGGAGCAAACAGG